rnacentral:rRNA from 1 species
GCAAUGGCGGCAGCUAAACAUGCAAGUCGAGCGGUAGCACAGAGAGCUUGCUCUCGGGUGACGAGCGGCGGACGGGUGAGUAAUGUCUGGGAAACUGCCUGAUGGAGGGGGAUAACUACUGGAAACGGUAGCUAAUACCGCAUAAUGUCGCAAGACCAAAGUGGGGGACCUUCGGGCCUCAUGCCAUCAGAUGUGCCCAGAUGGGAUUAGCUAGUAGGUGGGGUAACGGCUCACCUAGGCGACGAUCCCUAGCUGGUCUGAGAGGAUGACCAGCCACACUGGAACUGAGACACGGUCCAGACUCCUACGGGAGGCAGCAGUGGGGAAUAUUGCACAAUGGGCGCAAGCCUGAUGCAGCCAUGCCGCGUGUGUGAAGAAGGCCUUCGGGUUGUAAAGCACUUUCAGCGGGGAGGAAGGCGUUAAGGUUAAUAACCUUGUCGAUUGACGUUACCCGCAGAAGAAGCACCGGCUAACUCCGUGCCAGCAGCCGCGGUAAUACGGAGGGUGCAAGCGUUAAUCGGAAUUACUGGGCGUAAAGCGCACGCAGGCGGUCUGUCAAGUCGGAUGUGAAAUCCCCGGGCUCAACCUGGGAACUGCAUUCGAAACUGGCAGGCUAGAGUCUUGUAGAGGGGGGUAGAAUUCCAGGUGUAGCGGUGAAAUGCGUAGAGAUCUGGAGGAAUACCGGUGGCGAAGGCGGCCCCCUGGACAAAGACUGACGCUCAGGUGCGAAAGCGUGGGGAGCAAACAGGAUUAGAUACCCUGGUAGUCCACGCCGUAAACGAUGUCGAUUUGGAGGUUGUGCCCUUGAGGCGUGGCUUCCGGAGCUAACGCGUUAAAUCGACCGCCUGGGGAGUACGGCCGCAAGGUUAAAACUCAAAUGAAUUGACGGGGGCCCGCACAAGCGGUGGAGCAUGUGGUUUAAUUCGAUGCAACGCGAAGAACCUUACCUGGUCUUGACAUCCACAGAACUUUCCAGAGAUGGAUUGGUGCCUUCGGGAACUGUGAGACAGGUGCUGCAUGGCUGUCGUCAGCUCGUGUUGUGAAAUGUUGGGUUAAGUCCCGCAACGAGCGCAACCCUUAUCCUUUGUUGCCAGCGGUUAGGCCGGGAACUCAAAGGAGACUGCCAGUGAUAAACUGGAGGAAGGUGGGGAUGACGUCAAGUCAUCAUGGCCCUUACGACCAGGGCUACACACGUGCUACAAUGGCAUAUACAAAGAGAAGCGACCUCGCGAGAGCAAGCGGACCUCAUAAAGUAUGUCGUAGUCCGGAUUGGAGUCUGCAACUCGACUCCAUGAAGUCGGAAUCGCUAGUAAUCGUAGAUCAGAAUGCUACGGUGAAUACGUUCCCGGGCCUUGUACACACCGCCCGUCACACCAUGGGAGUGGGUUGCAAAAGAAGUAGGUAGCUUAACCUUCGGGAGGGCGCUACCACUUUGAUCAAGGG